UACAGAGGGUGCGAGCGUUGUUCGGAAUUAUUGGGCGUAAAGGGCGCGUAGGCGGUGCCACAAGUCACUUGUGAAAUCUCCGGGCUUAACUCGGAGCCUGCAGGCGAAACUGUGGUGCUGGAGUGUGGGAGAGGUGCGUGGAAUUCCCGGUGUAGCGGUGAAAUGCGCAGAUAUCAGGAAGAACACCUAUGGCGAAGGCAGCUCUCUGGGACGGUACUGACGCUGAGACGCGAAAGCGUGGGGAGCGAACAGG
rnacentral:rRNA from 1 species